rnacentral:rRNA from 1 species
AUACGGAGGAUCCGAGCGUUAUCCGGAUUUAUUGGGUUUAAAGGGUGCGCAGGCGGCCAUUUAAGUCAGCGGUUAAAUCGUGGGGCUCAACCCCAUUCUGCCGUUGAUACUGGGUGGCUUGAUUGCGGUCGAGGUUGGCGGAAUUCGUUGUGUAGCGGUGAAAUGCAUAGAUAUGACGAAGAACACCGAUUGCGUAGGCAGCUGACCAGACCGCAAAUGACGCUCAUGCACGAAAGUGCGGGGAUCGAACAGGAUUAGAUACCCUGGUAGUCCGCACAGUAAACGAUGAAUACUUGUUUUCGGCGAUAUAAUGUCGGAGGCAAAGCGAAAGCGAUAAGUAUUCCACCUGGGGAGUACGCCGGCAACGGUGAAACUCAAAGGAAUUGACGGG